rnacentral:rRNA from 1 species
CAGCCGCCGCGGUAAAACGUAGGGUGCAAGCGUUAAUCGGAAUUACUGGGCGUAAAGCGUGCGCAGGCGGUUUGUUAAGACAGAUGUGAAAUCCCCGGGCUCAACCUGGGAACUGCGCUUGUGACUGCACAGCUAGAGUAUGGCAGAGGGGGGUGGAAUUCCACGUGUAGCAGUGAAAUGCGUAGAGAUGUGGAGGAACACCGAUGGCGAAGGCAGCCCCCUGGGCCAAUACUGACGCUCAUGCACGAAAGCGUGGGGAGCAAACAGGAUUAGAUACCCGAGUAGUCCCUGUCUCUUAUAC